UUACGGUCAUAUCACGUUAAAACACCGGUUGCCACACGAUCACUGAAGUUAAGCAACGUCGUGGCUAGGCAGUACCUAGAAGGGUGGCCGCUUGGGAAUACCAGGUACUGUAA